GGGGAUUUAGCUCAGCGGUAGAGCGCUUGCCUAGCAAGCGCAAGGCCCUGGGUUCAAUCCCCAGCUCCA
rnacentral:tRNA from 1 species